AGAAUGGCCAGGCGGGGGAGCGAGGCUGUGCUAGGGCGCGCCGCCCGGACUGAGCGGCCGCGGGCUGGGCUCCCCGUGUGAACCUGUAAUCGGAGCCUGGGCGCCGGCCGGCCCCGGAAGCCACCGCCCUGAGCCGCCGUAAAUCUCAGCUGCGUAGCCGCCAGUGCUCCGCGGCUGGAGGCGCGCGCUCUUGGCGGGGCCCGGCUGGGUGCACCUGGCGGGGCCUCUCGCUGGUCGCUCCGUGGAACCAGCAGGAAACCCAGAGAGGUGUCUCUUGUGCCCCGGACACGUCCUUUGUGGCUACCAGCCCAGAGGCUAGUCACAUGGAGGAGCAGGACGUGGUUUUGGGGAUGUUCUUCCGUUUCUGGGGACUGAGCCCGCCAGUGUAGCGAGAGGCUUCUGCAAGGGCUUUCCAGCCUCCAGCAUGGAAUGAACUCCCCUAUGCAUCUAAUUUCCGGGGAAGUGGAGCGCUUGUUUUGUAGGCUAAGUCCGGGAGGGGUGAGUCCCUGGGGAUAUUCAUCAUGUUGGUUUCCCCCCAACCCUCACCCCCCCCUCCCCGCCCCGCGUUGGCGGCCAGAUCCUCUCAGCCGGCGACAGGGUGGCGGGGCGGGCGUUUGCAUCUGAGGCCUGCCUCACUGCGAGGAUGUAUGUCUCUGAUCAGUAGACAACGCAUUACACACACAAAUACACCGCUUUCUGGCUUUGGUUGUGGCAUGGCGUGUAGUAGAUGCUCCAUGAAGUUCUGCAAGGACUCCAGGAAGACGGACUUGUAAAAAUACAGUUUUAAAUCUCAGAACUGAUUCCAGGAUUUGUAGCAGAAGGUUAGGAUGGUUGU
rnacentral:lncRNA from 1 species